rnacentral:tRNA from 1 species
GGGGUUGUGGCUCAGUGGUAGAGCUCUUACCUUGCGCGUGUGAGGCACUGGGUUCAAGUCUCAGCACCACA